CUGGUGUCAGGUGAGAAGCUGGGCAGGGACUCUGCUGUCCUAGUGUCAGGGGAGAAGCUGGGCAGGGACUCUGCUGUCCUAGUGUCAGGUGAGAAGCUGGGCAGGGACUCUGCUGUCCUAGUGUCAGGGGAGAAGCUGGGCAGGGACUCUGCUGUCCUAGUGUCAGGUGAGAAGCUGGGCAGGGACUCUGCUGUCCUAGUGUCAGGGGGAAGCUGGGCAGGGACCCUGCUGUCCUAGUGUCAG